rnacentral:rRNA from 1 species
UACGUAGGGUGCGAGCGUUGUCCGGAUUUAUUGGGCGUAAAGAGCUCGUAGGCGGCUUGUCGCGUCGACUGUGAAAUCCCGCGGCUCAACUGCGGGUCUGCAGUCGAUACGGGCAGGCUAGAGUUCGGUAGGGGAGACUGGAAUUCCUGGUGUAGCGGUGAAAUGCGCAGAUAUCAGGAGGAACACCGAUGGCGAAGGCAGGUCUCUGGGCCGAUACUGACGCUGAGGAGCGAAAGCGUGGGGAGCGAACAGG